UACAGAGGGUGCAAGCGUUAAUCGGAAUUACUGGGCGUAAAGCGUGCGUAGUCGGCUUUUUAAGUCGGGUGUGAAAUCCCCGGGCUCAACCUGGGAAUUGCAUUCGAUACUGGAUGGCUAGAGUUCGGCAGAGGGAAGUGGAAUUUCAGGUGUAGCGGUGAAAUGCGUAGAUAUCUGAAGGAACAUCAGUGGCGAAAGCGACUUCCUGGACCAGAACUGACGAUCAGGCACGAAAGCGUGGGGAGCAAACAGG
rnacentral:rRNA from 1 species